rnacentral:rRNA from 1 species
UACGUAGGCAGCGAGCGUUGUUCGGAGUUACUGGGCGUAAAGGGUGCGUAGGCGGUUGUUUAAGUUUGGUGUGAAAUCUCCCGGCUCAACUGGGAGGGUGCGCCGAAUACUGAAUGACUAGAGUGCGGGAGAGGAGAGUGGAAUUCCUGGUGUAGCGGUGAAAUGCGUAGAAUAUCAGGAGGAACACCGAUGGAGCGAAC